GACGAACGCUGGCGGCGUGCCUAAUACGUGCAAGUCGAGCGAAGUUUUUCUGGUGCUUGCACUAGAAAAACUUAGCGGCGAACGGGUGAGUAACACGUAAAGAACCUGCCUCAUAGACGGGGACAACUAUUGGAAACGAUAGCUAAUACCGGAUAACAACAUAAAUCGCAUGAUAUAUGUUUAAAAGUUGGUUUCGGCUAACACUAUGAGAUGGCUUUGCGGUGCAUUAGCUAGUUGGUGGGGUAAAGGCCUACCAAGGCGACGAUGCAUAGCCGACCUGAGAGGGUGAUCGGCCACACUGGGACUGAGACACGGCCCAGACUCCUACGGGAGGCAGCAGUAGGGAAUCUUCCGCAAUGGGCGAAAGCCUGACGGAGCAACGCCGCGUGAGUGAAGAAGGAUUUCGGUUCGUAAAGCUCUGUUGUUAGGGAAGAAUGAUUGUGUAGUAACUAUACACAGUAGAGACGG
rnacentral:rRNA from 1 species